rnacentral:tRNA from 1 species
GCCAGAGUGCUGAAAUUGGUAGACAGGCACGGCUUAGAACCGUGUGUCGCAAGGCGUAAGGGUUCGAGUCCCUUCUCUGGCA